CCUACGGGGGGCAGCAGUGGGGAAUAUUGGGCAAUGGGCGCAAGCCUGACCCAGCAACGCCGCGUGAAGGAAGACGGCUUUCGGGUUGUAAACUUCUUUUAAGGGGGAAGAGCAGAAGACGGUACCCCUUGAAUAAGCUACGGCUAACUACGUGCCAGCAGCCGCGGCAAUACGUAGGUGGCAAGAGUUGUCCGGAUUUACUGGGUGUAAAGGGCGUGCAGCCGGGGAGACAAGUCAGAUGUGAAAUCUACGGGCUCAACCCGUGAACUGCAUUUGAAACUGUUUCCCUUGAGUGUCGGAGAGGUAAUCGGAAUUCCUUGUGUAGCGGUGAAAUGCGUAGAUAUAAGGAAGAACACCAGUGGCGAAGGCGGAUUACUGGACGAUAACUGACGGUGAGGCGCGAAAGCGUGGGGAGCAAACAGGAUUAGAUACCCUGGUAGUC
rnacentral:rRNA from 1 species